rnacentral:rRNA from 1 species
UCCCCUAGNAACGGCGAGUGAAGCGGGAUGAGCUCAAGCUUAAAAUCUCCGUGCACGUUGUGCGCGGCGAAUUGUAGUCUAUAGAGGCGUGAUCAGCGCGGGCGGCCGGGGUAAGUUCCUUGGAAGAGGACAGCAUGGAGGGUGAUACUCCCGUUUGUACCUGGGUGUUCUGCGCGUACGGUCCGUUUUCUUUGAGUCGCGUUGUUUGGGAAUGCAGCGCAAAGUAGGUGGUAAAUUCCAUCUAAAGCUAAAUAUUGGUGCGAGACCGAUAGCGAACAAGUACCGUGAGGGAAAGAUGAAAAGAACUUUGAAAAGAGAGUUAAAGAGUACCUGAAACUGCUGAAAGGGAACCGAAUCGUUUCCAGUGUCUAUAAUCUGCGGCAUAUUUCACGUGCGAGUGCGUGCGUUUCGGCUUUGUGGCAGCGGUCUUUUUUGGCUGCGCCCGUUGCUGUUUGUGCGUGCGCUUGCGUGUGCCCUGUGCCGCGGUGGGACGUCAAGGUCAGUUCGUAUGCUGCGGGAAAUGGCCGUCGGGGAGGUAGGUCUUAAGCUCCGCUUUUGGCUAUUAUAUCUCGGCGGUUGAGUCGUCGCGGUUGGGACUGAGGUGCCUACAGCGUGCUUUUGAGCGCGCGCGCGUCUCUGUGUGCGCGGUCUGCGGAUAGCUUGCUAUGCGUGGGUCGCUGCGUGCGGAUGGAUGUGCGCUGCUGCUUGUUGCCGUUCGGGACUUUGACGAAAUGGCGCGAUCCGACCCGUCUUGAAACACGGACCAAGGAGUCUAACACGCGUGCAAGUGUUCUGGUGUGGAAACCAGAGCGCGCAAUGAAAGUGAAGGGCGCCUUACGGCGUCUGAGGUAGGAAACCCUGUCUUCGGGCGGGGUGGCACUAUCGACCGAUCAUGAGCCUUCGUGGCGAAAGAUUUGAGUUUGAGCACGUGUGUUGGUACCCGAAAGAUGGUGAACUAUGCCUGAGUAGGGUGAAGCCAGGGGAAACUCUGGUGGAAGCUCGUAGCGAUUCUGACGUGCAAAUCGAUCGUCAAACUUGGGUAUAGGGGCGAAAGACUAAUCGAACCAUCUAGUAGCUGGUUCCCUCCGAAAUUUCCCUCAGGAUAGCAGCAACUUAUUUACGAUAGUUUUAUGAGGUAAAGCGAAUGAUUAGAGGAUUCGGGGAAGAAACUUCCUCGACCUAUUCUCAAACUUNAAAUCUGUAAGACCUGCAGGUUUCUUAAUUGAACUUGCGGAUGUGAAUAUCAAGUUGCUAGUGGGCCAUACGGGGUAAGCUCGUCUGGCGAUGCGGGAUGAACCGAACGCAAAGUUAAAGUGCCAAAAUGCCCGCUCACCUAGAUACCAUAAAAGGUGUUGGUUCAUUAGACAGC